rnacentral:rRNA from 1 species
UAGGGAAUCUUCCGCAAUGGACGCAAGUCUGACGGAGCAACGCCGCGUGAGUGAAGAAGGAUUUCGGUUCGUAAAACUCUGUUGUUAGAGAAGAACAGCGCAUAGAGUAACUGUUAUGCGUGUGACGGUAUCUAACCAGAAAGCCACGGCUAACUACGUGCCAGCAGCCGCGGUAAUACGUAGGUGGCAAGCGUUGUCCGGAUUUAUUGGGCGUAAAGCGAGCGCAGGCGGUCAAUUAAGUCUGAUGUGAAAGCCCCCGGCUCAACCGGGGAGGGUCAUUGGAAACUGGUUGACUUGAGUGCAGAAGAGGAGAGUGGAAUUCCAUGUGUAGCGGUGACAUGCGUAGAUAUAUGGAAGAACACCAGUGGCGAAGGCGACUCUCUGGUCUGUAACUGACGCUGAGGCUCGAAAGCGUGGGUAGCAAACAGG